CUACUAAGACUGCAAUGGCUCACUCGAAUUGUUGUUAGUUGCAGUUUCGUCUGCGGGGACUGGGGGAUGAUUUUGAUCGUCUUGAAGCGGCUGUGUCUCCGUUUUCUUUUUCUCCUUCAGAAUCACCUGCCUUGGCAUGACCUCUAACAAAAAGCUCCCUCCAUUCCAGACGGCAGCUGAAACCUUUAGCAGCUGGAAAACCACAUGCAACCGAUAGGACAAGAAGAUCGGAACGGCUAAUGCCAUCGUCAACACUGUGAAUAUGCCUUGGAAUAAAAUGUACAUGAACAGACGAUUCUGGUCUCCAAGCAAACCACUUAAUUUCCACCAUACAUUGUUGGUUUUCUGUGCCCUUUUAGACAGUUCCCUGUAGGAAGUCAUGACUUCGGGGUCUCGUAAGAACCGCUGACGACGCAACACGUUGACAAUCAGAAAGUAGAGAAUCUGCCAGAGAGUGUAAGCAACCAAGGGAACUAGAAACAGCCAUGUCCAUAAGUAUGACUUGUCCUGAAGGGACUUCCCGCAGAGCUUCAUGGCCCUAUGUAGAGGACAAGUCAUAC
rnacentral:misc_RNA from 1 species